CCUGGUGGCUCAGAUGGUAAAGAAUCUGCCUGAAAUGCAGGAGACCUGGGUUCAAUCCCUAGGUCAGGA
rnacentral:tRNA from 1 species